UACGUAGGUGGCAAGCGUUAUCCGGAAUUACUGGGUGUAAAGGGCGCGCAGGCGGCCCUGCAAGUCGGAUGUGAAAGAUCAAGGCUCAACCUUGACAGGCCAUUCGAAACUGUGGGGCUUGAGUGUCAGAGGGGAAAGUGGAAUUCCUAGUGGAGCGGUAAAAUGCGCAGAUAUUAGGAGGAACACCGGUGGCGAAGGCGACUUUCUGGCUGACAACUGACGCUGAGGCGCGAAAGCGUGGGGAGCAAACAGGAUUAGAUACCCUGGUAGUCCACGCCGUAAACGAUGAUUACUAGGUGUAGGGGGUAUCGACUCCCUCUGUGCCACAGUUAACGCAUUAAGUAAUCCACCUGGGGAGUACGGCCGCAAGGUUAAA
rnacentral:rRNA from 1 species